rnacentral:lncRNA from 1 species
GAUGAUGGGCCACGAAGGCCGGUAGCUGUCAUCGUCAGUAUUUUGGUCAUGGAGUAGAUAUAAUAAUAGAAGUAUUUGGUGGUCGGUUAAAAGCCAUGAUCAAAAGAAUCCUUCCCAGUAGACGAUGACAAGAAAAGAAAUCCCACCAGAGACUCUCUGUAAACCGAAUAAUCAUACCCCACCAAGUUGACUCGGAGGUGGAGACUCAGCUCACUGGA